AUUGAACGCUGGCGGCAGGCCUAACACAUGCAAGUCGAGCGGAAACGAUGGAAGCUUGCUUCCAGGCGUCGAGCGGCGGACGGGUGAGUAAUGCAUGGGAAUCUGCCCGAUAGUGGGGGAUAACCUGGGGAAACCCAGGCUAAUACCGCAUACGUCCUACGGGAGAAAGCAGGGGAUCUUCGGACCUUGCGCUAUCGGAUGAGCCCAUGUCGGAUUAGCUUGUUGGUGAGGUAAUGGCUCACCAAGGCGACGAUCCGUAGCUGGUCUGAGAGGAUGAUCAGCCACAUCGGGACUGAGACACGGCCCGAACUCCUACGGGAGGCAGCAGUGGGGAAUAUUGGACAAUGGGCGAAAGCCUGAUCCAGCCAUGCCGCGUGUGUGAAGAAGGCCCUCGGGUUGUAAAGCACUUUCAGUGGGGAAGAAAGCCUUGGGAUUAAUACUCCCGAGGAAGGACAUCACCCACAGAAGAAGCACCGGCUAACUCCGUGCCAACAGCCGCGGUAAUACGGAGGGUGCGAGCGUUAAUCGGAAUUACUGGGCGUAAAGCGCGCGUAGGCGGUCUGAUAAGCCGGUUGUGAAAGCCCCGGGCUCAACCUGGGAACGGCAUCCGGAACUGUCAGGCUAGAGUGCAGGAGAGGAAGGUAGAAUUCCCGGUGUAGCGGUGAAAUGCGUAGAGAUCGGGAGGAAUACCAGUGGCGAAGGCGGCCUUCUGGACUGACACUGACGCUGAGGUGCGAAAGCGUGGGUAGCAAACA
rnacentral:rRNA from 1 species